rnacentral:lncRNA from 12 species
CAAAAUGACUCUUGAUGUAAAAGUAAUAUGUUUCCAUCAAAGUAGGAUCUCCCCAGAUGGAUCUAGCCUCCCUACACUGGAACUCAUAGGGUCCUGGACAACCUCCAAAGCUCUUGACUCCCCUUCAUCUAUCCAUAAGCUUGUAAGACAAAUGAGACUAAAUAGUGUUCUCCUUUUACAGAGAAGGCUGCAGGCACCCAGAGAGGACAGGCUCCAACCCGCCCCAGGAGUGAUGCCUGAGACCAAGGGGAAAGAUGGACAGUGGAUAUUCUGGGCGAGGCAGAGAGCACCACACAGGAACUCACUCUAUCUGGAUGAGGCUGAAACUUCAGGCUACCUGGCUAAUCAGAGCAUUCCACGGCCUUGAGCUCAGUGAUUGGGCCUGAGGCAGUCACAUGAUCCACAUCAGCCAAUGAGAGGAAGACCUGGGAUUCUUGGCAGAGUUACCAGGAGAGAAAUGCUGCUUUUUCAUGGGGAUUACCUAGCGGUAGAACAUAAGCCUGGAACCAUCAGUGCCCAUCUUCGAGGCUUUCUGCGGGAAGCUCCUGUCUGUGAAUGAAGCCAGAACCAAAGAGAGCAAAGCCAAAAGUUAGAAAUGCAUAUGUAUGCAAGGGUGGUAUUGGAGUCCCUGGACCCAGCCAGGUCUGAAGCCAGCACUACUCCUGGGUUUUUCAGCUACAUGAGCCAAAAAAAAUGUCUGUUUUGAGUAAGCCACUUUGAAUUAGGUUUCUGUCAUUUCCAAAUUAAGUCACCAGGUGUGAGAAUCUUUUUCUAUCUAAAAAAUCACAUUAGGAAAAAAGAGCUUAACAAAGUGGUAAUAGUGGCAGUCACCCACAGACAGCCCUGGGGGCUUGUGGUACAGGGCUGGGCAACAGAUUCAUUUUUUAUUAUGUAUACAGAUUCUCUAAAAAUUUUUUCACCAUUAGAGUGGAUUUUCAAAUUUUUAUAUUUUCAUAUAAAAUUCAAUCAUUUAUAUUCAAGCCAUGUAACUUGUUAUUUAAAGAACAAUAGAAACAAUUUGUUCACUUACCUAAACACAUUUACUUAUUUCUUAAUUAUAGUGUGUAAUUUUAGAAAAUUUGAAAAGUACCAAAAUAUUGUAAAGAAGAUGAUUCCAAGCGUCUGUAAACCCAUCAUGGUUGGCAUUUUUUUUUUGGUCUUUAAUUACUUUUCAUAUUUUUGUUGUUGUUCAAUCUUAUUUAAUUCCUACAGCAACCAUAUGAGGUAAGUACCACCAGUGCCCCAUUUUACAGAGGAUAAAACUGACUUAUAAAGAGGAAAAGUGACUCACUGAAAUUCAGAGCUCCUUUUUUUUCUUAAAGAUCUUAUUUAUUUAGCCAGGAUGGGGGAGGGGAGGGCAGGGAGAGACAGAGAGAGAGCCGCACAAGCAGAGGGAGCAGCAGGCAGAGGGAGAGGGAGAAGCAGUUUCCCCACUGAGCAUGGAGCCUGAUGUGGAGCUCAAUCCAAGGAACCUGUGAUCAUGACCUGAGCCAAAGGCAGAUGCUCAACCAACUGAGCCACCCAGGCACCCCAAAUUUAGAGAUCCUAACUGAUGUAGGGAUGGCUGGGUGGCUCAAUGGCUGAGUAUCUGCCUUUGGCUCAGGUCCUGUAGGAAGCUCCCUGCAGGGAGCCUGCUUCUCUCUCUGCCUGUGUCUCUGCUUCUCUCUGUGUCUCUCAUGAAUGAAUGAAUGAAUGAAUGAAUGAAUAAAGAGGUCCUAACUGAUGUAUAUAUCA